rnacentral:rRNA from 1 species
GACGAACGCUGGCGGCGUGCUUAACACAUGCAAGUCGAACGGAAAGGCCUCUUUCGGGGGGUACUCGAGUGGCGAACGGGUGAGUAACACGUGAGUAACCUGCCCUUGACUUUGGGAUAACUUCAGGAAACUGGGGCUAAUACCGGAUAGGAGCUCCUGCUGCAUGGUGGGGGUUGGAAAGUUUCGGCGGUUGGGGAUGGACUCGCGGCUUAUCAGCUUGUUGGUGGGGUAGUGGCUUACCAAGGCUUUGACGGGUAGCCGGCCUGAGAGGGUGACCGGCCACAUUGGGACUGAGAUACGGCCCAGACUCCUACGGGAGGCAGCAGUGGGGAAUAUUGCACAAUGGGUGGAAGCCUGAUGCAGCAACGCCGUGUGCGGGAUUACGGCCUUCGGGUUGUAAACCGCUUUCGCUCAUGACGAAGCUUUGUGUGACGGUAGUGGGUAAAGAAGCACCGGCUAACUACGUG